AAAAAAUAAAAAAUAAAAAAAACACAGGUGUGUGUGUGCGUGUGUGUCCAAAUCAUGAAAGAUAUCCCACAAUAAAUGAAGAUAUCCAAUUUUUUAAAUAUAGAGUAAAACCAAACCAAUAAAACUUAAAGUGUGACUUUUUUUUAUAAAUUUAAGAGUUUUUAAUUAAUUGGAUAAGAUUUAAUUAGAGCUAAUCUAAACCCAUUAAGAAAUCAAACCCAUUAAUUGGAAAUUUUUAUUAAGAAACCAAAUCCAGAUGGCAGAUGCUGAUUAGAGAAAAUGAAGAUUUUUACAAAAACGCAAAUGCCCACUUUUAGCCUAAAAGCCAACCAUUGAUGAAGAAAGCAUGGGAAGCUUA
rnacentral:misc_RNA from 1 species